UUUCGUAGUUUAAUUCUACAACCAA
rnacentral:rRNA from 1 species